rnacentral:rRNA from 1 species
UCCGUAGGUGGCAGUUCAAGUCUGCUGUCGAAGACCGGGGCUCAACCUCGGAAAGGCAGUGGAAACUGAACAGCUAGAGUGUGGUAGGGGCAAAGGGAAUUCCUGGUGUAGCGGUGAAAUGCGUAGAGAUCAGGAAGAACAUCGGUGGCGAAGGCGCUUUGCUGGACCAUAACUGACACUGAGGGACGAAAGCUAGGGGAGCGAAUG